GAUGAACGCUAGCGGCAGGCUUAAUACAUGCAAGUCGAGGGGCAGCAGCUCUGUAGCAAUACAGAGGCUGGCGACCGGCAAACGGGUGCGGAACACGUACACAACCUUCCUUUAAGUGGGGAAUAGCCCGGGGAAACCCGGAUUAAUACCCCGUAACAUUAUGAAGUGGCAUCACUUUAUAAUUAUAGCUCAGGCGCUUAAUGAUGGGUGUGCGGCUGAUUAGAUAGUGGCGGGGUAACGGCCCACCAAGUCUGCGAUCAGUAACUGGUGUGAGAGCACGGCCAGUCACACGGGCACUGAGACACGGGCCCGACUCCUACGGGAGGCAGCAGUAAGGAAUAUUGGUCAAUGGACGCAAGUCUGAACCAGCCAUGCCGCGUGGAGGAUGAAGGUCCUCU
rnacentral:rRNA from 1 species